CCCAGCAAGAGGGCUACGGAAAUGUCCACUCUGACAAAAUAACACAACUAAGCUUCCUCUUAAAAUGCAGGAAAUCGAACCAGGAGAGUUCUGUUUGUCACUUGGGUGGACUAAGCAAACGAGAGUCCCUGGUAGCCUUUACUCAUCAGCUUCUGCCUGACCUAUUUUACUUUCGUUUUAAAAGUACUUUUUUAAAAUAGUUUUUGCCUGUCCGUCUAGGAUCAUCAGUUUGUGCCAACAGAAGAAGAUGGAGACUGAGAACUAGCAAAUUUCGGACCUGUCCAGAGUCAGCCUGUGAAUUUAAAUCAGAGCUGGGGACAAAAGAAAAACCUCACUGUUUCGAAGCUGUGGACACUGGGACAUCACAAGCUCAGGCUUCCCGCUUAAGGAUGGAACUCUGCAUAGAGCGAUGUCAACUUCUUGAUCAACGGAGAAUCCCAUGUUGAAUCUCUCUCGAAGAUAAUUUACUCCAAGUAAAAGAUUUUCCUGUUAAGUAUUACUUAUGAUUGAACAAUAGGUAUCAUUAGGUAAGAAUUUUGAGGAUGAGUAAGUUCCUUGCAAAAAUGAAUACAAAACUUGCCUCUGAUCAGCCUGAUUAGAACACUGACAGGAGGAGGAGGAGGAAUCUGUGAUGAUGUUUUGAUAAACGCCCUCACUCAGGUGCCCUAACAUUUACAUGUUAAGUUUCAACUAUGGAUUCUGCACACAUUUACAAUACUUCCUCUCAACCAAUGUAAGAGACAGCCUGAGGCUGGCUAGAUGGGUGGAGGGGAAACGGGCCUGCCUUUGAGCAUGUGACCAUGUGAGUUCUCUUCCUGGGGUUCACACGGUGGAAAGAGAGAACUGGCUCUCUCAAGGUAUCCUCUGACACCUACAUAUGCACAUUGACACAUGCAGAUUUGUGUGCACAAACACAAAUCAAAAAAUGAAUACGUAGCAAUGUUUUAUUUAGAAAGACACACUGUCUGGGCCCAGCAGCCUCCCCCUAGCUAAUAUGGAAUCUAUCUAUAAAUCCUCCUGUAGUUGAGCUGUCUAAAUUACAGGUGACAUAAUUUAGGACAUGACCUAAGUCAAGAACCCACACUGAAUAAUACCCUCAGAGACCGAUGUCUAUCCAUUAACAGAAGCCUUCAAAAGCAUCUAAUCUUUCUUUCUCAGACCCUGGUUGUGCGUUGGGAGAAACAAAAAAUGAAUGAUCCCCUUUAAGAACCAUAUUGUUGGGGCUGGAGAGAUGGCUCAGCAGUUAAGAGCACUGACUGCUCUUCCUGAGGUCCUGAGUUCAAAUCCCAGCAACCACAUGGUGGCUCACAAUCAUCUGUAAUGAGAUCUAAUGCUCUCUUCUGGUGUGUCUGAAGACCACUACAGUGUAUUCAUAUAUAAUAAAUAAAAAUUUAAAAAA
rnacentral:lncRNA from 1 species